CGGGGCCGGAAGGAGAGACAGGGCGCCGCCAUGACAGGUGGGGCCUAAAGGGAAUGGGCUGCUUGCCGGUUCUGCGACCGGAAAAGAAAACGAGGCGAGGACGGCCGAGCUGGGCGCCGCCAUGACACCCUGUACCGGAAAAGGCGGGGCGCUCCCCCCUGACUGAGUUCCUACGGGCAUCGGCCUCGAGAUGCAGGCGGCCCUGGAGAUCACUGCUCGCUACUGUGGCCGAGAGCUGGAGCAAUAUGGCCAGUGUGUGGUGGCCAAGCCUGAGUCAUGGCAGCGAGACUGUCACCACCUUAAGAUGAGUAUUGCUCAAUGCACGUCCUCCCACCCAAUCAUCCGUCAGAUCCGCCAGGCUUGUGCUGAGCCUUUUGAGGCCUUUGAAGAGUGUCUUCGACAGAAUGAGGCAGCUGUGGGCAACUGUGCAGAGCAUGUGCGCCGCUUCCUGCAGUGUGCUGAGCAGGUGCAACCACCACGCUCACCCUCAGCUAUGGAGACAAAGCCACUUCCUACCUCCUGAGGACCCUUUGAACCAUAGGAAAACUGGACCUGAGUGACUGAUCACUUGAUGCCACCAGCCCUGAAGAGUGGGCAGAUGGAGUCAUGAGAGCCCUGGAUAAUCCAACCCUGAGAAUGGAGUGCAGAUAAUAUAUUUGGAAUGUGAUUCCAGAAAUAUUGGAGAGGAAUGGAGAAGUGAGACAGAAGAAGGCAACCAAUGAAAGGUGCAUUAUCAAGCCAGUUAUCACAGUGGGCAGUGGGCUCUAUACUCAGUGGGGUAUAGAUCACCAGCUUCCCAUCUGUCAUGGGGGCAGUUUUCAUGGGCAUUGACCGUUUAGCACUACUGUCUUCUUUGUGUGUGGUCACGUGCCCUGCCAUCAAAGAAGCCCUGAGUGGAGAGUAGCGGAGAAUCAAGUAAGUAACGUUCAGUGCCCAGAAGAGUGCUGAGUGGAUCUGGGCAGGGACUAGAUCCACUCAGCAGCUGCAGCUUCUGAUUGUUUCUUCUUGGGCAUAUACACUCUGUGGGCCCAGCUGAUGGAUCACGGGCUUGCCAGCAUGGGCAUGUCCUGAGGGACAAAGGGCAGAGAGACACAGAUAUGGGUGAGAGAUCUGGGAAUGCCCAGCUCAGUGUGCCCAGCGCCUGCACCCAGAUUCACCAUUCAGACAAGUCCCUUCCCCUUGGAGGGGAUUCCAGACUUCUAGAAAUUAGAAGUGACUGGCCAGCACUGACUGGAGUAGCCAUUUGAAACCUAAGGCUUGUGCUCUGGCUUGGAAAAAUGAGCCACAGAGUCUCCUGGGGAUUUCUUCUUUAAGACAAAGUUGUCGGGAUCCCUGGGUGGCGCAGCGGUUUAGCGCCUGCCUUUGGCCCAGGGCGCGAUCCUGGAGACCCAGGAUCAAAUCCCACGUCGGGCUUCCGGUGCAUGGAGCCUGCUUCUCCCUCUGCCUGUGUCUCUGCCUCUCUCUCUCUCACUGUGUGCCUAUCAUAAAUAAAUAAAAAUUAAAAAAAAAAAAAAAAAAAAAAUUAAGACAAAGUUGUCAGUUGGCUUGGGAACUAAGAUGGAAGUCCUGCAGUCAUAGUUGUAGGAGCCAUCAGAAGCCAUGUGGCACAAACCAGAGAAAAGCCAGGUAGAGAAAAGGGAUGUGAUAGUUCUUGGGGUCCCUGAAAGGGCUGCUUGGGGCCUAGUGGCUUUCUAUUCCUAGCUUUGGUUUCCUUGGGAUGUGGAUUGAGUCCUCAGGUUUCUUUGUAUGUUUUCAGUCAAUCCCACUUUGCUUAGGUAAGCUUGAGUGGGAUUCUGCUCUGUGUAAUUAAAGAAAUGUAAUAAGGGGGUCCCUGGGUGGCUCAGUUAAGAACCCAACUUUGGAUUUUGACUUGGAUCAUGAGAUCGGCCCCAUGUCAGGCUCCAUACUCUGAGGAUUCUGCUUGAGAUUCUCUCUCUUCCUCUCCCUCUGCCCCUCUCAAUUAAAAAAAAAAAAAAAAAAAAAGUAUAACAAACAAAACAGGUCAAGACUACAUUUUAGAAUCUCUUAAGUGGCCUCUCUUCCAGUAGGCUACACCAGCUUCCUUAUCUGGUGGUAUACCAGUGGUCCCAAGGAAAGCAAAAAUGGAAACUUCAAAGUCAUCAUUUUUAUCACAUUCUAUUGGUCAAUGCAAGUCUCAUGGCCAACCCAGAUUAAAGGGGUGGGGAGAUUACCUCUCGAUGGCAUUUGGCUGAAAGGGAUUUUGCCCACAUUUAAACUACCAUAAAAAUUUAAUAGUUUGGGGGCCUCUGGAUAGUGCAGUUGGUACAGUCAACUCUUUG